GACUCGUGGAAUUGGAUGACGGUCUGGUACUGUUCGGUUAUUUUAAAUUGUCGUCGUAGUGCACUCGUUAAACCAAAAUAUGAAGAGUUUUCUGCUAGCAUUGUUUUUUUCUUCAGUAUUUUGCUUCUUUUUCUAAUUUUGCUUUUGCUUCCUCUAGUUCUUUUAUUUUACCCUCAACUGCUUGUCUGCUUCUACUUUUUUUCUGCUG